rnacentral:sRNA from 1 species
CCCUGAAAAUGCAAGUCUUGUACGAGUUUGAAGCUAGGAACCCACGGGAACUGACUGUGGUCCAGGGAGAGAAGCUGGAGGUUCUGGACCACAGCAAGCGGUGGUGGCUGGUGAAGAAUGAGACGGGACAGAGCGGCUACAUUCCAAGCAACAUCCUGGAGCCCCUACAGCCGGGGACCCCUGGGACCCAGGGCCAGUCACCCUCUCGGGUACUACCCAGCCUGGACUAUCCAGAGCCCUAAGUCUUGAGUUGGAGGUGGGGGUGGGGAGGAUUCAGUGGCAAGCAGAGGAGAUAGUCUUGGUUUGAUUCGGACCGUAUUAUUGCAUGCUUAGUGUGCCAACUUUAUCAUGGGGCCAGAGCAGAGAACAAGACCAGCUCCCUGCCAGACCAGAAAGCCACAGAGUAGGAGAAGUGAUUUGAUGGGAACCUGGAGAAGGGACCCAGAUGUUAGGGGCUGUGGUUGGCUG